rnacentral:sRNA from 1 species
AUGGCUUCACUAACGCAACAACUCCCUCUACCAACCACUGUGAUCAAGAUUGAGGCAUUGGCAGCACGAAGAGCGAUGGAGUUUGCACUGGAAAUUGGUCUUGACAACAUAGUACUUGAAGGUGACAAUGAGAUCCUAUUCAAAGCAAUGAAGAAUGGUGAUAGAAACUUGGCAUAGUAUGGACACCUCACACAAGAUAUUCUAUUCCUUAGCUCACAUUUUUUAGCUUUUAAUUUAUCCUUUGUACACCGACAGUGUAAUAAGUUGGCUCAUUUCUUAGCAAGAAAAGCAAAAUCUUUACCGUAUAUGAUCGUCUGGAUGGAAAAUGUACCACAAAACCUUUUAUCGGUUUUUCAUGCUGACCUCAAUAGCUUUCCUUAAUGAAAUGCAUUGUCUUAUUUCUAUAAUAAUAAUUAAAAAAAAAAAAAAACUACACAAGUCAAAGACAACCUCUCUCUCUCUCUCUCUCUCUCUCUCUCUCUCAACUUAACUUUUCUUGGACUCUUGUAAUUUCAUGCAUAUUGGGCUAUAUUUAGAAAGUCUUAACAUGACACAAAACUUUUCAAAAAGAAAUUAUAAGAUUUUUUGCGAAAGCAAUUUGUGGUAUAAGAAAUUUGGUCUCGUUUGGGAAAAAAAAAUGAAAAAAAAAAUAUAUUGGUAUUGUAAAAAAAUUUAUCAACAUAAAUGACUUUUUUUUUUCUUGUAGGAUUUAUUCUGUAAUUUUCCCAAAAAAAAUCUUAACUCAUAACCAUGAUAAGAGCUAGUUGGCUUCAAAGUAAAGUAAAUCGACAAUUUCCUUUUCUUUUGAUCUUUUGAUUUACGCUAGUUUUCUACUUUUUCCCCCAACUUACACUAGUUUUUUAUAAAAUAAAUUUACCAUAUAUAUUGCUCACAAAAGUUUUAAGUGAACUACAACAUUAGGAUCUGAAUCCACCGUCUCUUCGUUGUGAGAUGCAAAUCGUACGUAUCACUCUAGUCAAAGGGCUCAAUGGUAUUGACUUAUCAUUACAUCAUAUAGGUUAGUCUCAAAAAUUGCAUUUUCAUUAUAACUAAGCUUUCAUAUGGAUGAGAUAAUAAGUCUAAUACAAAAAAUUUUACAACUAUUGAGAUGACAGAUUGUGAUUAAUGGUUUCAAUAAAGGUAAUAUUGCACUAAUCAAAAUCUGUCUUCUCAACUAAUUGUAAAAAAAAAAUGUUGUGUUAGUAUUGUUGAUACUUGUGGUGGGCCUUUUGUGUUGUUGGGCUUUGACAUCUCUUGCUAUUCCACGCCCAUGAUUUUGAGGUAGGAGCAUUGGGACUAGCCUAAGUGAAACACACCUUAGGGCAAUUUGUCCACAAGUUGGGCCAUCCCAACAUAAACAUGCCUUGGCAAGAGUCCUGAGUGUACGGCAUGCCUGCGAUAGGAACAGCUAUUACAGAUAUUACAACAAGAAAUACAAUGUAGCAAAGUAGCUAUAACAUUUAACAAAUAAUGCUAACGCCUAAAUAAAAGGAGAAAGGAAUCUAACAAGGUUAUGGUAGAAUAAUACUACCACAAAUAACAAAAUUACGGCAAGCAAUUCAGUAAUAAGGCAACAAACUAAUUAUUCAUCAAUCAAAAAAGCAAAACUCAUCUGCCAAAGAAAUGGAUUUAGCUAUUUGGCAAAUACAAAUCCAAAAAGGGAGCUGAUCUCCAAUGUGAGUAACCUCAGAGAAGGCUUUUGCCAUAGAGGUUACGUACUUUGGAAAAAUGACCUAGAUGGCUUAAACUCUAAUUCUUAAUUUCUAAGAGAGUGGGCCUGUCAAGAGGAAGAGAAAUUGGUAGCCUAUUGAUGCAUAUCUCUAUUCCUAUCACUCAUGUUUUUCUUUGAUUUCUACGUUUUCCUUUUCUUUUCCCUCAUUUUCUUCCUUGUUCUACCUCUGUUUACAACUACCACCCUUUAUAUUGUUUGCCAUGAUGGGAUUUUCCAUUUUUACCCUUCAACUGCUUUUGGCUCCUUAUGGGUGUCCUUCCAAGACUACCCACUGGCCUGCCGGUUGCCCAGCUAAUAUCAUUGCAUUGAAUGUGUUAGCUGCAUCACUCCUCAUUCCCUGACAAAAUGGCAUGUCUUGUUUCUUACCUUCCUCUGUUCUCACUACUCUCAUCUAGAUAAGGAUUAAGCCUCUCCCUUACCUAUCUCUAUAGCAUAUAUCAAGUGGUCCUAGCUCAUUUUUACUUCUUUUGAGUGAGAUGCCAUCUUAGCAGGAUAUUUCUCCCAAAGAAGUUUGAGCGGGAACUCCAAAAUAGACUCCAUCUUUCUCCCCACCACUAGACCACACCCUUUAAUACCCUUGACCCAUGGCCCACCUCCUAUGUAUUGGCUAGGUACAAGUAGGUGGUGUUUGGGCCCUUUGUGUACGCUCCACUUCCGUCUAAAUCUGUUCCUUUCUAGCCUUCAUGCCAUUCCUGCUACCUCCGUGUUUUUCUAAUUCUGUUAUACGUUCUGGUGGGUGCUUAACUCUUGUGGCAUGAAGGACAUAUGGGCUUUUGGGCUCAUGUCCCUUGCCUUUUCACUCUUUCCCUAGGCUAGGCAUUGCUUGGGUGAAGGCCCUUUCCUUCCUACCUAGCCCAUGUUCUCUUCUUCCUUGUGUCCAUGGGCCUCUUGGCUAGGGAUCCUACUAGGCCACUUUGUGUUUCUGCUAUAUCAUUACCUUUCUCUCUUUUAUUUUUUGUUACAUGUGGGCUUAUGGGCUGAUACUCCUACCAUGCCAGUCCACUUUCCACAUCUUUACCUCUUUUGGGUUUUGUUAGCCAACAUUCCUACUAUGCCAGCCCAAUUCAUUUCUCGAGCUUCCUCGUCUCAUUCACUUCCUCUUUACCUCUUUUACUUCCAUGAGUUUUUUGCUAAAUUAUUUGGGCUUCCUCAACCCAAUUACUCCAUCUUUACCUCUUAUUACUUUUCGGGCUUAUUGGCCUUUAAGCCAACUUAAUGAAUUUACUAAUUCAUUUCCUGGGCUUCCCCAACCCAUUUACUUCCUCUUUACCUCUUAACAUCUUAUUGUUCUCAUGAGCUUACUAUUUCAUUCCUUAGGUUUCCUCGGCCCAUUUACUUCCUACUUGCCUCUUAUUACUCUAGUGGGCCUACUGGCUAUCAUUUUUGCCAUUCCAGCCUACUGGGCUUACUUUACUAUUUUCUCUUCUCACUUUCUUCAUAUUGUUGAGAUUCUUCUGUUAUUGGGCCCUUUUUCAAAAGUGGGCAUCAACAAUACUAAAAUGGAGAGACUAAUAGUCAACUAGGCACAACAAACAUAAAUGGUGCGUUGUCCAAAUACUGGCUCAACAUGCAUCAAGACAUCAAGCAUAUAGAAAGUAGCCUUAGAGUGUUAGCCAUGCCAACUCAAGCUUAAUUUGGGAAAAAAACUAAGAAAAAUGUUAAAGAUAUUACAAAUUUUAUUAAAUAAGACUUAUAAAUUAAUGUGACAAAUAAUGUGAUUAAUUGAAUAGUAUAACACUCACAAAAAAUGAUCUACAAAAAAUACUACCUCCUAACUUGGAAGUAAUAAAAUAAAGGAAAAGUUAACAAAUGUUCUAAAAUCAUUUGUUCAUAGACAAUUUUAUAAACUUUUUAUGUGAAAAGAAAAAAAUUACUAAUUUUUUUUUUACAGCUUUUUAUAUUUUCCAUGAAAUUUAUAUUAAUUUUUUUAAAUGAUCAAUUAACAAAUACUAGGGGUGGCAAAAUUUGACACGGCCUGUAAACUCGACACGACACACAUGAAAUUAGUAAGUUAUGAGUUGAGACUUAAUGAGUUUGUGUCAUAUUCAAGUUGACACGACUGACCUAUUUAAUAAAUAGGUUGGGUUAGUGUCCAUCAUAUGGAACCUGUUUGACCUGUCUGACCCGUUUAAUUGAAUGACAUUUUACCAAUAUACCCUUCAAACUUUAAGUAUAUAAACUUAUUAUUUGUUAUGGUUUAUUUUCUUUGACAUAUUAUGAUUGAUUAUUUGUAAUAUUGAGAUAAACUUUAGUUUUGAAUUAUUAUUUGUGAUGCAGUUACUCGUUAGUUCUAAAUUUUAAAUUAAAAAAUAUUUAUUUGUUUGUGAUGCAAUUUUUUUUUUUUUAGUUUUGAUAAAAUUUGAUAAACAGAUUGACACGACUGACCUGUUUAAUAAAUGAGUUAUAUUAGGGUUAAAGAAUCUUGACUCGUUUAAUAAACAUAUCGAGUUAGGAUUGAUCUAUAUAGUCAAAUAUUCAUGAAUCGACACGACACAAAACCGACACUCAUACAAAAAUUGCCACCACUAACAAAUACUCAAAGGAGCAAGUGCAUAUAGUAUACAGUACACACAAAAACAUCUAUAAUAUUCACAUGGACUUUUUUUUUUCUUUUUUUCUUUUUGGAGAAAUACAUGGACAUAAAUAAUAACCAAGAAACAAAAUGUACAUCUGUCAAUAUUUAAUGAAUUUCAGAACACAUUAAAAACAUUCAUCUUACACGUGCAUCACAUAUGACCAGAGCAGGGCCCAAAAAAAAGAGCCAGAUCGGGCUGGGCUCAGAACUUUUUAACUCAAGCCCAGAAUAUGAGUUGCUUAUAGGCUUGAAGUUUCAAAUAGCAACGUAGAUUUGCGUUAAUAGAGCAACAACGCAGGCAUUUACAUCAAUAGGGAAGAAGAAAUUAGGAUGCAAAAAAGUAACACAGUCAAGCAAUAAUUUGUUUCUUUAAAAAAAAAAAAAAAAAACAAUAGCUUAUGUCUAUCUUAAUUAUCAUGCAUGCUCUCAUUGUAAUCUCUGCCCUCAUGGUUCUAAUCUUACUUGUAACUCAAUUAAUACUUUUUAUAUUUUUAACAGAAACAUCCAGAAUUUAAAUCUCAGUCUGUCAUCGUAACUAUUGAAUUACUAAUAAACCAUUUAAAAAUAGUUCUCAUCCUUCCUUUUGAACAUAUCAUUACUUUGGAGUCACAAUAUGAUUUUCUUUGUAACUUGUCAAAAGUAAUGAAACUUUCAUUACUUUUUUUAUUUUAUCUCUCUCUCUCUCUCUCUCUCUCUAAACGUUUGCUAUAUCAUAUAUCAAAAUAAUAACCAUGAACUAUCGCACUAUGAUGCUAAUCGUAUCUUCCUUUACUAAGAAAGUGUUUUCAUUGGAAGUUUUGAAAUGCUUCAUUGAAUGUGUUGGAAAUUGCUUAAAAUUCAUAUUUGCACUUUACAUUUUAUCAGUUUGGAAGAAAAAUCUAUUCCUUAUCUAAAAAGUAAUUGAUAUUACCUGUCAAAAAGGUAUGUUAAGAGGGGCGAUUCUCAUUUUUUUCCUGGGCUCCUUAUGUCCAAGGAAUCUCCAACUCUAUGUUUCCAACUUAGUGCUAUUAGAGAUGCCCUAUCCUUAUCCAAGAGUUUUUGUUUAUUUUGUUUUCGAUUCAGCAAAAAGAGGUAAAUCGUAAUGUUAUCACCAAAAAUUAGGUAUUGAAUACUCCAAAUUAUAUAGAGGACAACAAUAACAAACUACUCCAAAUUCUUAAAAGAUUUUAUGGACCAAACCCUAACCACAGUUUGGUAACAAUGAACAAUAUUUAGCAAUAAAUAAAUAAAUAAUUUCACUAUCCAUGAGAAGAUGAAAAAAAUGAUGGUUACUAAGAAAACAUAUGAAAGUAAUAAUAACAAACUAAUAUUACCCCAUUGUGCUUUAUGGGGGAAAAAAACUCAAAACCACUGACCAGUUAAAUUUGAAUCCAAACUUGACCCUUACCCAUUUAAAAAGGCUUAACUCUUAAUAUUAGAAUUGGGCGGGGAUGGGGGGAACUUUUUCUACCACAACUUGUGAAUAAAUUUGAUGAAGUGAUUGACUGUGUGAAGUGUACAAUCAUUUGUAUAUGGACCCAUAAUUUUUUCUCCACCACUCACAAUUAUUGUUUCAAAAAUGUGAAAAAUUGUUGUAUAAAAAUUGUCUAUAAAUUUUCUAAAAAGAAAAAAAGCCCCCACUAUAUUUUACCCAUUGUCAUUGCUAUACAAAUCAUGAAAGAUGAAUAGGAAAUUCUAGUCUUAAUGAAGAGUUUUGUUAAAUUUUUUUAUUAACUAUGACCAAGAAGCAUCCCAAAUCUUGUUUCUAUCUUAUUUAAGAAUGGUUUAAUUAGCUUUUAAUUGUGUGGUUUGUAUGUAGUUUUUCUUGUGAAAGUAUAUGGUAUUUCCACUCAUAUAGUAUCACAUUCACAAUGCAUGGGCCCAAAGUAUAUUAUAUUUCCACUCUAUACAACAUCACACUCACAGCAUGUGGGCCCCACCCAGCCAGCAAAAAUAUAUUAUGUUUCUGUUCCAUACAACAUCACACUCACAACAUGUGGACCCCACCUAAUAGCAAAAGUAUAUUAUGUUUUUGCUCCAUAUAAUAUCACAAUCAUAGCGUGUGGUCCCCACCCAGCAGUGAAAGUACAUUAUAUUUUCACUCCAUACAACAUCAGAGUCACAACAUGUGGUCCCCACUUAGCAAUGAAAGUACAUUAUAUUUCCUCUCCAUACAACAUCACACUCACAACAUGUGAUCCCCACUCAACAAUGAAAGUAUAUUAUAUUUCCACUCCAUACAACAUCACACUCAUAAUAUUUGGGCCUCACCCAGUAGUGAAAGUAUAUUAUGUUUCCACUCCAUACAACAUCACACUUACAGCAUGUGGGCCCCACCCAAUCAUAAAACCCACACACUGUGUGUGUGAUGUUAUAUGGAACAAAAACACCAUAUACCUUAUCGUUUUUCUUCCCCUACUAAAGUAGUAGGUGUAUGUUGAGGACAAAAUUUUCAUGCCAUAUGACUUUAUUUCAUUGGCAACCCACACCACAUCAACAUAUUAUGGAUUUUGGGAAAAUAUCUUUUAAAGCUCAAAAGAGCCCAUAUUUACACAAAACGAUGCCAAAGCCUGUGAUCCAAAACUCAUGGUGAUAUUAUCUCAUCAAAGCCCAUGGAUCAAGCUCAUGGCACAUUUUCUCAUUUUCAGCUCAUGAGUCUCAUCGGGGGAAUUUUGGGAGUCGUGAUUCGGAGGGCUAAGAAAUAUAUUCAAUAAAGCUCCAGUGGUUCAAAGUUAAUAAAGGAAACAUGUUGCUUGACAUGACUUUCCCAAUUCCCUAAACUCUGACAGGAUAGUGUGCAAUAAUUAACAUCUAGUAAGCCUCUAAUAUCACAUAAACACUUAAAAUAAUAAAACUCUCCAUUGCUCUUUACCUUAGACUUAAUAUUCAUCAUAUAAUUUAAUUACAUUCAUCAUAUAAAUUAUACUAUUAUUUUCAUCUAAAUACAACCCAAACACAUGUCUAAAUCUUAUUGGCUAAAAUAAUUUUUAAAAAAAAAUCUAUUUAAUAUCUCAUCUAGCAUUAAAUGCCCUCCUUGCUCUCCAAGAUUUGGUCAUAAUAUAAAGAGACUAUAAACUAAAUCUCAAAAGCUUCAUCAAGUAUCAACCAAUUAGUUUGUUACAUACUAAAAUUAUAUUGUAAUAAAACCAUGAACUAAACGUAUAAUUUCCUAAAAGAGGAAACUUAGCCAAAAGGUACCAACAACAACUCCACCAGAAGCUCCAAUAAAUGACACAUGUCCAAAAUAACACCAUCAGCCCAUUAAUGCUUAAUCCCAACUGCUUGCUGCUAUACUCAAAGAAGUAAAGAUCACAUAAAAGAUAUAAUACCAUUUUUAGCCAAACUAUGAAUUAAAUGCUAAAUAUUUUCCUCCAGCAGAAGAUAUCAUUCAACUGACAUCAUCUAGCAGUGUCAACUACUGCUGUGUCAGUUGUGACAGACAGCUGUAUAGCUUUUUUAGCAACUUUGGCAUUUCAGAUUUUCCUAUUAUAACUUAAAACCAAAAACCAAGUAAGGAAAUUACUUACUUUGCCAAAUACUUUUCCUUAUUUGCUGAUUAUUCCUUUAACUAAAUUUCAUUUAGUUACAUACUUGGCUAUAUAUAAAGAGGACCAAGCCACAACUCUUCCACAGGGGCGACCACCUUUAAUUCAAAGGGUUCAAAUGAGCUCCCUAAGAUGCCCAAUUUUUUUUAAUAUAAUAUUUUUUUUAAAAAAAAUUUGUUGGUUUUUUGUUUUGAGUGACUUUUGACUUCCUAAAAUAAAAUUUUGAACACCUAACUCUAAAUUUUUUUAGGCUCAACUGAUAUAGGCUUGAAGAUGACCCUAUUAACAAUCUAUUCUUGCGAAUAACAUUAUAAUUUAUUUGAGAAAUUCUAUAUUCAUAACAUUUUCAUAGCAUUUUUACAAAAAAAAUUUAAGUAGCAGGUUGUUACUAGCCUAUUACUAUUGGGUAAAAAAGUAAUUUCAAUGGUGGUUUCAAAUUAAAAUUGGUAACAACUUAGCACCUAAGAUUUAUUGUGAAAAUGUUGUUGAUAUAACAAUUCUCAAGUAAUUUAUACUUUUGACCAAAUAUGUGACUUGAGUGGCUGAAUUUGAAUGUACUUUGAAUUUGUUAUUUCUUGAGUGGUGACUGGGGGUGUGGGUUAAUCAGUUAAUGGGUAAUAAAUUUAACGCUAAAAGAGAAUUAAACAAUUAGAUAGAUGGUGAUUCUUAAAAAAAUAAAUAAAUAAAUAAAAAUAAGAACAAGGUGUGGGAUAGGAGAUUGAUUGGGUGAAGAUAAAAGAAAAUGUUAACACAACAAAAAUUUUCUUAAUACAGUUACGAAGACCAAUUGUUAUCAAAGUGAAGUUGAAUUGUGUUAAAUAAAAUAAUUGUAAGAGUAUAGACAUAAACUAAUAAAUACAAACAUUCUAAGCUUUAAUAAUUAAAACUCACUUAACAAAAAUACUUAACAUAUUUAUUUUAUUUAGAAAUAAUAGAUGAUUUUCAAUAUAUAAUCUUAGAAGCAAUAAUUAGUAUGUUCAUUGUAUUAAGAAAUAAUAUGCUUAAAGAACUUAUAGUUUAUCUUUUAUUCUCUUUCUAAUACCAUGUACAAAUUUGAAUAAGAAAACCAUGUAUACCGCAAGAUAUAUCUUAUAUCCAAGAUACUUCUUCUUAUUAACCCCUCUGGAAAAAAAUUCUGAAGCCGCCAUUGCUCUUACAACAUACUAGAACACCGCUAUCUAUCUCUCCCACACUUUUUUAUUCUAAAACACAACACACCAUUACUCAUUUUAUGCUCAUUCUCUAUAUUCAGAAAAUACAUCUAUCUUGCUGCCCAUAUCUCUAAACAUCUACUUCUCCAUUUCUCUUGCAAAAAUCUCAUAGUAAACAAACAUUACAACUCUUUACAUCUUGCAAAUCAUUUUUCCCACAAAAUAUCUAUAUAUACUUCCUAUACAUAUUGCAAACACCAUAUCUCACAAAACAUAUAUAUUUCUUACGAUCUUCAUACAUCUUAGAAAAUAUCAAACACUCUUUUAAGAACAUGUUACAAAAGCCCUUCUCAUGAAAGACAUAUAAUUAUAAUGCUAAAAGCCCUUCUUAUGAAAGACACAAACUUAUAAUACUAAAAACCCUUUUCAUGGAAGGCAAUAUCACUCAUAUUUGACUAAAAACUAAAAGAGCAUUACAUGAGAAAAAUAAUUUAAGUGCUUGAUAAAGAGGAUAAACUUAACCAACAUAUACACACGGCUGGACAUAUUCUCCCUCCCUCCAACUGCACCCAUUUUUCUCCUUCAAUCAUGAAGUCACCGUGAAUGGACUCAUAAUAUCAUACUAUAUUGCUAGACUCAUUUUAUUAUGUUGUUGAAAUGUUAUUAGUCCAUUAAUGCUAUAUGGCUAGAGCCAUAAACUAUGAAAUGGAAUGUUAUCAGCUCAUUGAAGCUAUACAGCUGGAGUCACAAGCCAUAUAAAGUGAUGCUAUAGUUGGAACCGCAAACCAUAUCAAGAUAAGUCAUUAUGUCUCAAUUUAUAAACUUACAUUAUUGAGUACAUAUUGUUUCAUUAUCACUAUACCGCUAAAUGCAAGUUACUCUAAUAAUAUCUUACUAUUUAACAAACAUGGAUUCACUAAUAUUUCACUAAUGAAUAUAAAAAUAUCGACAAAUUGAGCUCAUCCCACUACUGGACAUAUAUUACCUAGACAUAAACUAAAGUUGGACAUGUAUAUUAUUUGGACAUAAACCACUGCUGGAUAUAUAUUAUUUGGAAACCACUGUUGGACAUAUAUUAUUUAGACAUAAACCACAGCUGAAUAUGGACUAUUUUGGACUCAUCCCAUUAUUGGACAUUGACACUAAAUUAAUUAUUCUCUAAUAUUGGAUAUCACUUUAUAUAUAUAUAUAUAUAUAAUUAUGAUAUUCAACUCAUUGGUCUAUGCAGCCUAGUGUUGAGUUCUGAAUUGAACUCCCCAAAAUAAAUCCAAGUCUAGCAAAGUCACUCCUCCGAAAGAUAUGUGUUUGCGAACAAAAAGGGCCCUCGACAGUGUGUUUGCUUAAGCAGAUUUUAUUCCUCAUUUAAUUUUGAUUGAAAUUAAUUUCUUCCUUUAUUUUUUAUUUAAUUUCCAAAAAAAGCCCCCAAGAAAUCAACAUCCAAAUUAUUAUGUCCAAUGGACCUUUUAUAUGCUUGCAGAGAAUAUGCUAAUGAAUGUUUGAAGAUCUCCACAUUCACACGUUUAGCAUUAUUAGACCAAAAGAGGAAAAAAAGUAUAUCUCCUACACGUGUAACAACGAAAACAUUAGGGUUCAAUUUCUAUCGCCUCCAAUUAUCAACAUAUAAAAGAAAUGUUAUUGUUCGUUCCAUCUGACAUGGCACACACACUCUAUACACACCAGUAUAUAUUAAUUCGUGCUUUAAAAGAAAACCCUUUUUUUUUUUUCUUUUCAGAAUUCAAAAAAAAAAAAAAAAAAAAAAAAAAAAAAAAAANUACACGUGCAACAACGAAAACAUUAGAGUUCAAUUUCUAUCGCCUCCAAUUAUCAACAUAUAAAAUAAAUGUUAUUGUUCGUUCCAUCUGACAUGGCACACACACUCUAUACACACCAGUAUAUAAUAAUUCGCGCUCUAAAAGAAAAUCUUUUUUUUUUUCUUUCAGAAUUCAAAAAAAAAAAAAAAAAAAAAAAAAAAAGGGAAAACCUUAGAGCAUUCACAAUGAAAAAUGCCAUCCUAUCAUAUUUUACUAUCCUAAAAAGUUACUUUAUCAAUUAUAUCAUACCAUUUUAUAAUACAUCCAACGUCCCAAAACUCUAUUAUUUUACCAUUUUAUCAAAAUAUUAUUUUUUUAAUAUUUCUUUAUUAUUUCUUUCCAACCGUCUUUUUUUUUUUUUUUUUCAAAUUCAGCAACUAAUCCAACGGUCACUAAAACAUCAACGAGAGACCUCAGACCAAAUAUCAAUGAGAGCUUCAGCGCUGAUUAAAAUAUUAUUAUUAUUUUUUUUUGGCAUAGUGUUGUAAUACCAUCAUACAUUUACGAUGAUACUGUAGCACUGUGUCAAAAAAAUUUACAUUUUUUCAUGUUUAGCCUUCCAACUAUUGAGACAAAUUGAACCUGAUUGUUAAAUUUUGGUUACAUUUGACAUAUCUUUGACCCAUUGCGAAUGCUCUUAGAGGCCGUUUGGACUCAGCUGAAAGCUGAGUCCACGUUUCGCGUUUUGCAAUUUUCCUUUUUUUUUUUUUUUUUUGGGAAAGUAACAGUAAAAUCACAUGAUUUUACUGUUCAGGAGACAAAAAAUACUGUUUGUGUACUGUUUGGCACUGUUCACGUACUAAAAAAUAUUAAAAAUGGGUCACACGGUACUAUUUACACAUUUAAAAAUUAUUUUGCUACAGUAUUUUCAGUUUUCAGUUUUCAGUUUCAGCAAAAAUAAGUUCAAUCCAAACGGACCCUUAAUGUCACUAGUUACCCAUACAAAAUAAAAACAAAAAACUCAUACUACAAAUUAGCUCGUGUAUAUAUUCCCACGUCCAAUAGAAUAGAAAAAAAAAAAUCCAGACAAUACAAGUUAAAAAUCCAAAAGUGUGAAUUAUGUUCGAGAACAAGUCCACAUACGUGUGCCAUGAUACUCCCAGCUGGUAGGUCCACCAAAAAAAAAAAAAACCGUACUUUCCUUUUUAUCUCUUAUAUUAAAUUAUGUAAGUAAUUACCAAAAACACAGUUCCGAACUCAAAAAACAUAUAAAUACCCACUACACAAAUCUGUGUCCUAAAACGAUUCAACCAUAGUUCAGAAACAAACAACAAAAAGUCUUCUCUAUCUCUCUCUCUCUCUCUCUGUUUCUUCAGCCAUGGGACGAGGCAAAGGGAGCAACAGAAAUUCUAGGAUUUCUUCUUAUUCUUCUUCUUCUUCUUCUACUACUGCUGCUCCUUAUAAUACGACGUCGUCUUCUAACUCUUCGUCCACGUGGUGGUCUAAUUUCUGCUCCUCGGCGCUCAGAACAAAGCCGCAGGUUUCUCCGUCGGAGAACUCCGUUCGUGUUGUCGGCGACGGUCUCGUCCGGCGACUCGGCUUGCUCGACCUCGUUCUCAUCGGCGUCGGAGCUUCCAUCGGCGCCGGCAUCUUCGUCGUCACCGGAACCGUCGCUCACGACGUUGGCCCUGGUUCGUCUUUUUUUUCUAUUGCUUCCCAUUUUGUUGGAUGAUUUUUUUUUUUUUUUUUUUUUGGGGGUUCUUAGCAUUUGGAUUGCGUUUUACGGGUCUCUGUUUUUAGCUUAAAAUUCCAGCUUAUUUUUCGUCAUUAGCUUGCAAAUAACUUUUUAAAGCUUUCACUUUUUUAGCUUAGGUAGCUUAUUUGUUAAUCAUCAUAGAAGUCAAUGAAGAUAGCCUCAUUCAAAUACACUUCAAAUAUAUAUUUAAACUUGAAGAAAUUUUGAACACUUUAUUUGACAUGGGACGAAUAGGAUUUUAAGGACACUAUGGUCAAAUUACUUGGUAUUAGGGAAGAGGCACUAUAUGUAAGAAAUGGGGUAGAGUGUGAAGUUGCAAUAAUUAUCUCAUGUAUUGGUUAUAUAUAUCGUCAGUUUGUCAGUCUCUUAGCGUGUAGGCCUAUAGUCAAGUGAGGUCUACACGCCAAGAGAGGGAUGAUGCAUAUAUCCGAUGCAUGAGAUGGGACAUCUUUUUCUGGGUGAGUAGUGUGACUUUGCAAUGAAAAAAAAUUUAUGGAAGAAGCAUAGAAAAUAACAUGGUAAGAAUAUUUCAAAAAGCAUAUCCUCACCGAAAUAAUUGAGGGUUCGAGCGUGAGGUCAUACCUUCCGAUUGCAGACUCUUUAAAAAAAAAAAAAUUCGAAAUUCGUUACUUCUGAAGGAAAUUCUUGCGUAUUACUCUAAUAUUCAAUUGCCUUUUAUUUUUGGGAAAUUGUCUUGAUUGAAUUGAUUAUGAACAUUACCAUGGUUUGUUUAUUGGGAUUCUACUCCAUUAGUUCAAGUUGAUUUUAGGAUUGAAGAUAACCACAAGCCUUGUCGUCACGUACAUUUUGUUAAGACAAUUAAAAUGAAUCUGUGAACAACAUGUAGUGAUGAAAUGCUGCAUCUAAAUAAAGAGUACUGUAAUUAUCUUUUGUACCUUAGAACAUCAUUUAUAUGCUUUAAGAGAAACUAAAAUAUUGUUUUAAUAUGUUUGCUGGCACUUGUACUUUUUGGUGUGUAUCUCAUGUGUUUGGUCUUGGUUGUGACCUUACUCUUUAUUUGCUAUUAAAAAUGCAGGAGUUACAAUUAGUUUUGCACUAGCUGGAGCAGUGUGUGUGUUAAAUGCGCUCUGUUAUGCCGAGUUAGCUUCUCGUUUUCCAGCUCUUGUUGGGGGAGCAUACAUGUAUACCUACACAGCCUUCAAUGAACUUACUGCUUUUCUUGUAUUUGCACAACUAAUGCUUGACUAUCAUAUUGGGGCAGCUAGCAUAGCUCGAAGCUUAGCAAGCUAUGUAGUUACAAUUCUAGAACUUUUUCCUAUUUUCAAAGGUAUGCCAAACUGGAUUGGAAAUGGUGAAGAGUUUCUAGGAGGAGCUCUAUCUAUCAACAUAUUAGCUCCAAUUCUGCUAGUGCUUCUUACUAUAAUUCUUUGCCGGGGUGUUGGAGAAUCCUCUGCUUUGAACUCAUUCAUGACUGUGCUAAAGGUGCGCUUCCCAUUCUACCAUUCCUUAAAAGCAAGCGAAUGUUUAUAAACUCAAACAAGAAUAUUUAUUCUAUCCCAACUUUGCUGCAGAUCAUCAUUGUUAUUAUUGUUGUCUUUGUCGGUGCUUUUGAGGUGGAUGUUUCAAAUUGGUCUCCUUUUGCUCCAAAUGGUGUUAAAUCAAUUCUGACUGGAGCUACUGUAGUAUUCUUUGCAUAUGUUGGAUUUGAUGCAGUUGCUAAUUCAGCUGAAGAAUCAAAGAGACCACAGGUCUAGCACAUUGAUAUUGAUUUGAUGCCUUCUGGAAUUAGUACUCUAGAAAUUUGAAUUUCUAAUUUUUGAUAUGUCAGUUAAAAAAUUUAUAAAUUGUCUAACAUUUUUCUUUUCCUCUUUACUUUGAUCCUUCAGCGGGAUUUGCCAAUAGGCAUCAUGGGAAGCCUUCUCAUAUGUAUUGCAUUAUAUAUUGGUGUUUGUUUAGUGAUAACUGGAAUGGUUCCUUACAAGUUCCUUGGGGAAGAUGCUCCUUUGGCAGAAGCUUUUACAUCCAAGGGCUUGAAAUAUGUUUCAGUUCUGAUCAGCAUAGGUGCCGUUGCUGGACUUACAACAACCCUUCUAGUCGGUCUUUAUGUUCAGGUGAGACACUUCAGACUUAUGACAUAUUUGAUGUGCCUUAAUCCUGUAGUGUGUGGCAAUGUAAAUGAUGGGAUGUUUCUCGUGAUCAGUCUCGGUUAUAUCUUGGGCUUGGAAGGGAUGGCUUACUACCUGCAUUAUUCGCUAAAGUACACCCAAAGCGCCACACUCCUAUUCAUUCUCAGGUCUGGGUUGGCAUUGUUGCUAGUGUUUUGGCAGGGCUAUUUAAUGUGCAUGUGCUCUCACACAUUCUUUCGGUUGGCACAUUGGUAAGUCAGUUUACAAUUCUAGUUUGCAGCAUGUUAAGGUUGUUUAUUGAUUAGAUUUUAUCUAUUUUGGUUUGAGGCUAGUUUUUAUUUUCCCAAACUAACAUGCAGUUCAUGCAAGUACUAUUUAAAUCGUUGCAUUAUCCUCAGUUCAUGCAUAAGAUGGAACUGUUCAAAGUACAAUGAGUGACAUGCUGUAGUGGGUGAUUGCAAUAUUUUUAUGAAACUAGAUCUCACUAUAAUGGGGGCUAAUAUGCUUGCGUAGUUUCUGCUAUUAGAAAAAUUGCUCUAUAUGCAUCUCACAGUAUACAUUGGCUCAUUUCAGACAGGCUAUUCUGUUGUCUCAGCAUGCGUUAUAACUCUUCGCUGGAAUGAUAAGACAGCAAGUCAGGUGUUGUCUUCAUCUUGGCUGGAAGGUGUCAUCUGCCUCAUCACAGUUGCCUGUUGUGGUUUUGGUGCUGGACUAUUCUACCGUGUCAGUGCUUCGUUUAUCUUUCUGAUUGUAGCUGUAAUUGUAGCAAGUAUUGCUUCUCUUGCUCUCAUUUUCCACCAAGUGAGUAUUGAUCUUUUAUUUAAAUUGAAUAUUCCAUUUUAUUAAUUGCAUGGGGCCUGUACUAUAAUAUUAAAAUGCUUCCAAAAUGGAGAGAAAAUGGAAUUAGAGACUCAAGAAGCAUGACAAGGUGAACACAAUAAAAAUAAAAAUGGCAACAACAUGAAAACUCUAUAAUUUACAAAAUUGUAUAUCUGUAAUUUUGAAAAGUAUCAUUAUCAACCUCAUAAUCUUUUUUGGUGUUAUAACUUAUAAGUACAUAUUAGAGGCAAGGUCUAGGGCAUUUAUGGUCAUGUAGAUGCAGAAGUAGUUGCUUCACCAUCAUGAGAGAGAGAGAGAGAGAGAGAGAGAGAGAGAGAGAUCUCAUAGUUUUCCAGUGAUUGAUGCUGUCACUACUCACUGCUUAUAGGAUGGUAGGCUUUGUCUUCCAGCUUUACUUGUUGUUGUUAAUUUGAUUACGUGUAAACGACUCAUGUAUAAGUUGCAUUGAAUAUAGUUCUCUCUGUCUAAACCCUUUCUAUUUGUUCUUCUUCUCAGGCUUAUGCAGAUCCGCCAGGGUUUUCUUGUCCUUGGGUUCCUACUUUGCCUACUCUUUGCAUCUUCUUGAACAUGUUUUUAUUUGCUCAGGUAUGCUCAAAAAUGACAUCUUUUAAAAACUGUGCUAGGGAAGAUAUCAGUGAAGGAAAUGGAAGCUGGACCUUUUAUAUCAAAUUUAUAUCUGUUUUCUUUUCUUUGGGCAGUUACACUAUGAAGGAUGGGUGAGAUUCGUCAUCCUUAGCAUUAUUACAAUUGGUGUUUAUGCAUUUUAUGGGCAGUAUCACGCUGAUCCGAGGACAGAAGAGACAUUUGUCUAUCAAAGGGCCCCUUUAGAACCUGUAGAAGAGGCUUGA